ACAAAUUGUAAAUAUAUUCUAGUGGUUAAAUUUUUUUUUAUAUUCUGUCAUGAAGACAAAUUUAUUUUUUGUCUUAUAAAUAUGUAUUACCUAUCCACAUAUUUGAUCAGUGUUAUUUUGUGUAAUGAAUGUCUCCCUCUGUGUGUGGAAUCAGACGCUGCUCUCCCGGCUCCUGUUCUGACCGUUCUCCCUCCGUCCAGUAAACAGCUGGAGUCUAAAAAAGCCACUCUAGUGUGUUUGUUCAGCGAGGUGGCCGGUGGUUUUGCUGAUGUGCGUUGGCUCGUGAACGGGAACUCGGUCACCAGUGGAGUCAUCACCGGCUCUGCACUGCAGCAAACCAAUAAGAAAUUCACACUGAGCAGCUAUUUGACCAUCGACAGCUCCGAGUGGGAAAACAACAAAGACAUAACAUGUGAAGUGUCUGCUGGAGGAAAAGCUGCAUCGGUGAAGAUUAACAAGUCUGAAUGCAGUGAAUGAACCUGAUUACUGUUUAUAUAUUAAAU